rnacentral:rRNA from 1 species
UAGGGUUUGAUCAUGGCUCAGAACGAACGCUGGCGGCAGGCCUAACACAUGCAAGUCGAGCGCUACCUUCGGGUGGAGCGGCGGACGGGUUAGUAACGCGUGGGAAUAUACCCUUUUCUAAGGAAUAGCCACUGGAAACGGUGAGUAAUACCUUAUAAGCCCUUCGGGGGAAAGAUUUAUCGGUAAAGGAUUAGCCCGCGUUAGAUUAGAUAGUUGGUGGGGUAACGGCCUACCAAGUCUACGAUCUAUAGCUGAUUUGAGAGGAUGAUCAGCAACACUGGGACUGAGACACGGCCAGACUCCUACGGGAGGCAGCAGUGGGGAAUCUUAGACAAUGGGCGCAAGCCUGAUCGAGCCAUGCCGCGUGAGUGAUGAAGGCCCUAGGGUCGUAAAGCUCUUUCGCCAGGGAUGAUAAUGACAGUACCUGGUAAAGAAACCCCGGCUAACUCCGUGCCAGCAGCCGCGGUAAUACGGAGGGGGUUAGCGUUGUUCGGAACUACUGGGCGUAAAGCGUACGCAGGCGGAUUAGUAAGUUAGAGGUGAAAUCCCAGGGCUCAACCCUGGAACUGCCUUUAAUACUGCUAGUCUUGAGUUCGAGAGAGGUGAGUGGAAUUCCAAGUGUAGAGGUGAAAUUCGUAGAUAUUUGGAGGAACACCAGUGGCGAAGGCGGCUCACUGGCUCGAUACUGACGCUGAGGUACGAAAGUGUGGGGAGCAAACAGGAUUAGAUACCCUGGUAGUCCACACCGUAAACGAUGAAUGCCAGACGUUGGAUAGCAUGCUAUUCAGUGUCACACCUAACGGAGUAAGCAUUCCGCCUGGGGAGUACGGUCGCAAGAUUAAAACUCCAAGGAAUUGACGGGGGCCCGCACAAGCGGUGGAGCAUAUGGUUUAAUUCGACGCAACGCGCAGAACCUUACCAACCCUUGACAUACCUGUCGCGGUUACCAGAGAUGGUUUCCUUCAGUUCGGCUGGACAGGAUACAGGUGCUGCAUGGCUGUCGUCAGCUCGUGUCGUGAGAUGUUCGGUUAAGUCCGGCAACGAGCGCAACCCACGUCCUUAGCUACCAGCAUUUAGUUGGGUACCCUAAGGAGACUGCCGGUGAUAAGCCGGAGGAAGGUGUGGAUGACGUCAAGUCCUCAUGGCCCUUACGGGUUGGGCUACACACGUGCCACAAUGGCAGUGACAAUGGGUUAAUCCCAAAAAACUGUCUCAGUUCGGAUUGGGGUCUGCAACUCGACCCCAUGAAGUCGGAAUCGCUAGUAAUCGCGUAACAGCAUGACGCGGUGAAUACGUUCCCGGGCCUUGUACACACCGCCCGUCACACCAUGGGAGUUGGUUCUACCCGACGACGCUGCGCUAACCUUCGGGAGGCAAGCGGCCACGGUAGGAUCAGCGACUGGGGUGAAGUCGUAACAAGGUAGCC